GCUUGGCCCAGGAUGUACAGGUCCAGCUGCGCCACAUCUGGAUUAAGACUCACCACCUUUACCUGUAGACAGAGAAAACAAAAGAGCUUGACAGCACGCAAGAUUUCCUUGAGGUCAGGCAGACACAUGGUGAAAGUGAGAGGCAGUGAUGUCUGCCUGUCGUAACCUACGCACUGUGGUGAAGCCAUGAAGUGAGGACCUGCAUCGCCCGACUGCAGCAGCUUACAGGCGUUUUGCUGGAAAAGAUGAGUAACAGGAUUAAGAGUCAGAAUCUUUUUUUGUUCGUUUUUUAUUUAUGCAUUUUCUCCCCUUUUUCUCCUUUUUUAGCGCGUCCAAUUGCCCGAUUGCGUCAUGCUUCCUCUCCAUCAAUGCUGAUCCCUGCUCUGAAUGAGGAGAACAUAGCUAACUCACGCCCCCUCCGACACGUGGGCGGCAUGCCGCACCAUCAAUCAGCCAGCAGAGGUCGUAAUUGCACCAGUCAUGAGAUAGAGAGAGACCCCAUCCGGCUUAGUCCCGCCCAUAUCUGAACAACAGGCCAAUCUUUGUUUAUGUGGCCGCUUAGCCUUAGCCGGCAGAUUCGAUACGAUGUAUUCAAGAUCCAGCUCUGGUUCCAGCGUGUGUUUUUACCGCUGUGCCACCUGAGCGGCCCUUUUCGUUUGUUUUUUAAUAUGCAAUCCACAAAUUUACACACAAUCAACUAAAAGCUGUUAACCCUGAGCAAUCAAUACACCAACAUCUGUACCAUAGUAAAUGAACAUGCAGCACUCACCCAGUCCGAUCCGAUGCGAAGGUGGAUUCCUAAAUAAGGUCUAGGAAGCAGCGUGCUGAUGUGCUUCUCUCCAUCCUGCACUAUUUUUUCAGCCCACACUACAUAGCGCUGCAGGCCCACAUGCUCCUCCAGCACAGGGAACUGGGCAGGAGCUCCGGGAAGAGCCAGCACUGGGUGCUCCGCUGGGGAAAACCUGAGGUGAUGGAUUCAGUCUGCAUUUCUGAGUCCUGCAAAAGCUCAGUCUCAAACCAGGUCUGGUGUAACAAAGACCUGAUUGUACGGCACCAUCCAAUGUGAGACAGUAAUUACCAGCUCUGUAAUCCUCAAACCUUCUUACAUACCUUCAUAGGGCAGCUUUUCUUAUCCGUACUCCGUUGAACAGCAGAGUCAAAGCAGUAAGCUACUCUCUGUCCCGGUGGCCAGUGUGUGGGAGCCAGAUGCUCCAUAAAGUCCUCCAGACUGACCACACGGUGGUACUGCUUUAGUGGCUCCAGCUGGAAAUACUCACUGUAUGGUAUGUGCACCUGUUUCAGGAAGAAGGAAAAAAUAAUCAUCAAAAAACAUACUUCAUCCAAAUUAUUAUACAAUUAUACAAAGUUUAAUUCAUGACUACAUCCUUGUGUUUAACUGACUGGCAGGUAGCCUGAGAAGACGGUGAUCCUGUUAUAGGAUGCCAGCCAGGGUGUGAUGUAGUGCUGGGCGAUACGACAGUACAUUCGGUUUACCGUCUUUGAUUCCUCAUACGGUAUGGAUUUUUCAAAUACCACCAUACCGUAGCAUAGUUAAUACAACAGCUGUAGGCUUCAGUAGGCAGCAAACUACAUAAUAUUGUGCAGAUUAGAUACAGCUCACGAGUUAGCCAGGUAGCGUUAGCAUGUUAGUGUUAACAGAUGAGAGGCUUCCUCAACAUGGUGGAAAAAAUAACAAAAACAGAUGGAGGAUGAAGAGAGGAAGACCAAAUAUGCACCAGAAGAACCUGCCAAAGAAAUGAGGUGUGUCAGCAGUUUUAAACAGACUAAAACAUGAUAAACUGCACGGUUUGUUGAGCCACGGCUGUUGCAAACGAUGACAAUAUGAACGCAGUAACUAUCCACAUAUGCAAGGACACGAUUCCUCUAUAGCACUGGUGUCAAACUCAUUUUCACCGAGGGCCACAUCAGCAUUAUUGUGGCCCUCAAAGGGCCGAUUGUAACGUAUCCUGCUGUGAUUGCAGUCUGCUGUUUUUCUUGGAGGCUGAUUUCCGCAUUUAUAUUGUCCUCCUUUACCACAGACACAGCCUCAUAACACAAGAGACGCACCGGUUUCUCUUCCUGAAGCACAAACUUGUUUUCACUUUCAUUAAAUU